UUAAGCGACUAAGCGUACACGGUGGAUGCCCUGGCAGUCAGAGGCGAUGAAGGACGUGCUAAUCUGCGAUAAGCGUCGGUAAGGUGAUAUGAACCGUUAUAACCGGCGAUUUCCGAAUGGGGAAACCCAGUGUGAUUCGUCACACUAUCAUUAACUGAAUCCAUAGGUUAAUGAGGCGAACCGGGGGAACUGAAACAUCUAAGUACCCCGAGGAAAAGAAAUCAACCGAGAUUCCCCCAGUAGCGGCGAGCGAACGGGGAGCAGCCCAGAGCCUGAAUCAGUGUGUGUGUUAGUGGAAGCGUCUGGAAAGGCGCGCGAUACAGGGUGACAGCCCCGUACACAAAAAUGCACAUAUUGUGAGCUCGAUGAGUAGGGCGGGACACGUGGUAUCCUGUCUGAAUAUGGGGGGACCAUCCUCCAAGGCUAAAUACUCCUGACUGACCGAUAGUGAACCAGUACCGUGAGGGAAAGGCGAAAAGAACCCCGGCGAGGGGAGUGAAAAAGAACCUGAAACCGUGUACGUACAAGCAGUGGGAGCACGCUUAGGCGUGUGACUGCGUACCUUUUGUAUAAUGGGUCAGCGACUUAUAUUCUGUAGCAAGGUUAACCGAAUAGGGGAGCCGAAGGGAAACCGAGUCUUAACUGGGCGUUAAGUUGCAGGGUAUAGACCCGAAACCCGGUGAUCUAGCCAUGGGCAGGUUGAAGGUUGGGUAACACUAACUGGAGGACCGAACCGACUAAUGUUGAAAAAUUAGCGGAUGACUUGUGGCUGGGGGUGAAAGGCCAAUCAAACCGGGAGAUAGCUGGUUCUCCCCGAAAGCUAUUUAGGUAGCGCCUCGUGAAUUCAUCUCCGGGGGUAGAGCACUGUUUCGGCAAGGGGGUCAUCCCGACUUACCAACCCGAUGCAAACUGCGAAUACCGGAGAAUGUUAUCACGGGAGACACACGGCGGGUGCUAACGUCCGUCGUGAAGAGGGAAACAACCCAGACCGCCAGCUAAGGUCCCAAAGUCAUGGUUAAGUGGGAAACGAUGUGGGAAGGCCCAGACAGCCAGGAUGUUGGCUUAGAAGCAGCCAUCAUUUAAAGAAAGCGUAAUAGCUCACUGGUCGAGUCGGCCUGCGCGGAAGAUGUAACGGGGCUAAACCAUGCACCGAAGCUGCGGCAGCGACGCUUAUGCGUUGUUGGGUAGGGGAGCGUUCUGUAAGCCUGUGAAGGUGUACUGUGAGGUAUGCUGGAGGUAUCAGAAGUGCGAAUGCUGACAUAAGUAACGAUAAAGCGGGUGAAAAGCCCGCUCGCCGGAAGACCAAGGGUUCCUGUCCAACGUUAAUCGGGGCAGGGUGAGUCGACCCCUAAGGCGAGGCCGAAAGGCGUAGUCGAUGGGAAACAGGUUAAUAUUCCUGUACUUGGUGUUACUGCGAAGGGGGGACGGAGAAGGCUAUGUUGGCCGGGCGACGGUUGUCCCGGUUUAAGCGUGUAGGCUGGUUUUCCAGGCAAAUCCGGAAAAUCAAGGCUGAGGCGUGAUGACGAGGCACUACGGUGCUGAAGCAACAAAUGCCCUGCUUCCAGGAAAAGCCUCUAAGCAUCAGGUAACAUCAAAUCGUACCCCAAACCGACACAGGUGGUCAGGUAGAGAAUACCAAGGCGCUUGAGAGAACUCGGGUGAAGGAACUAGGCAAAAUGGUGCCGUAACUUCGGGAGAAGGCACGCUGAUAUGUAGGUGAAGUCCCUCGCGGAUGGAGCUGAAAUCAGUCGAAGAUACCAGCUGGCUGCAACUGUUUAUUAAAAACACAGCACUGUGCAAACACGAAAGUGGACGUAUACGGUGUGACGCCUGCCCGGUGCCGGAAGGUUAAUUGAUGGGGUCAGCGCAAGCGAAGCUCUUGAUCGAAGCCCCGGUAAACGGCGGCCGUAACUAUAACGGUCCUAAGGUAGCGAAAUUCCUUGUCGGGUAAGUUCCGACCUGCACGAAUGGCGUAAUGAUGGCCAGGCUGUCUCCACCCGAGACUCAGUGAAAUUGAACUCGCUGUGAAGAUGCAGUGUACCCGCGGCAAGACGGAAAGACCCCGUGAACCUUUACUAUAGCUUGACACUGAACAUUGAGCCUUGAUGUGUAGGAUAGGUGGGAGGCUUUGAAGUGUGGACGCCAGUCUGCAUGGAGCCGACCUUGAAAUACCACCCUUUAAUGUUUGAUGUUCUAACGUUGACCCGUAAUCCGGGUUGCGGACAGUGUCUGGUGGGUAGUUUGACUGGGGCGGUCUCCUCCUAAAGAGUAACGGAGGAGCACGAAGGUUGGCUAAUCCUGGUCGGACAUCAGGAGGUUAGUGCAAUGGCAUAAGCCAGCUUGACUGCGAGCGUGACGGCGCGAGCAGGUGCGAAAGCAGGUCAUAGUGAUCCGGUGGUUCUGAAUGGAAGGGCCAUCGCUCAACGGAUAAAAGGUACUCCGGGGAUAACAGGCUGAUACCGCCCAAGAGUUCAUAUCGACGGCGGUGUUUGGCACCUCGAUGUCGGCUCAUCACAUCCUGGGGCUGAAGUAGGUCCCAAGGGUAUGGCUGUUCGCCAUUUAAAGUGGUACGCGAGCUGGGUUUAGAACGUCGUGAGACAGUUCGGUCCCUAUCUGCCGUGGGCGCUGGAGAACUGAGGGGGGCUGCUCCUAGUACGAGAGGACCGGAGUGGACGCAUCACUGGUGUUCGGGUUGUCAUGCCAAUGGCACUGCCCGGUAGCUAAAUGCGGAAGAGAUAAGUGCUGAAAGCAUCUAAGCACGAAACUUGCCCCGAGAUGAGUUCUCCCUGAC
rnacentral:rRNA from 1 species